rnacentral:tRNA from 11 species
GAGGUCCGUAAUGGUGUACCCGGCGGACUUCAAAGC